GGCUUCCUGGUGCUUACCACAGGCUGUGCUCUUUACACUGACUAUCCAGAAAGAGGUCAUAGUUUAACCCACCCCAAUAUACCUCAGCCCAAGCCCUUUGCGUGGUCUCCAUUGUGAAUGGAAGGUCAUAG
ensembl:snoRNA